AUUGAACGCUGGCGGCAGGCCUAACACAUGCAAGUCGAACGGUAGCACAGAGAGCUUGCUCUCGGGUGACGAGUGGCGGACGGGUGAGUAACGUCUGGGAAACUGCCCGAUGGAGGGGGAUAACUACUGGAAACGGUAGCUAAUACCGCAUAACGUCGCAAGACCAAAGUGGGGGACCUUCGGGCCUCACACCACCGGCUGUGCCCAGAUGGGAUUAGCUAGUAGGUGGGGUAAUGGCUAACCUAGGCGACGAUCCCUAGCUGGUCUGAGAGGAUGACCAGCCACACUGGAACUGAGACACGGUCCAGACUCCUACGGGAGGCAGCAGUGGGGAAUAUUGCACAAUGGGCGCAAGCCUGAUGCAGCCAUGCCGCGUGUAUGAAGAAGGCCUUCGGGUUGUAAAGUACUUUCAGCGGGGAGGAAGGCGGUGAAGUUAAUAACUUCACCGAUUGACGUUACCCGCAGAAGAAGCACCGGCUAACUCCGUGCCAGCCGCCGCCGUAA
rnacentral:rRNA from 1 species